GACGAACGCUGGCGGCGUGCUUAACACAUGCAAGUCGAACGGAAAGGCCCUGCUUUUGUGGGGUGCUCGAGUGGCGAACGGGUGAGUAACACGUGAGUAACCUGCCCUUGACUUUGGGAUAACUUCAGGAAACUGGGGCUAAUACCGGAUAGGAGCUCCUGCUGCAUGGUGGGGGUUGGAAAGUUUCGGCGGUUGGGGAUGGACUCGCGGCUUAUCAGCUUGUUGGUGGGGUAGUGGCUUACCAAGGCUUUGACGGGUAGCCGGCCUGAGAGGGUGACCGGCCACAUUGGGACUGAGAUACGGCCCAGACUCCUACGGGAGGCAGCAGCGGGGAAUAUUGCACAAUGGGCGGAAGCCUGAUGCAGCAACGCCGCGUGCGGGUUGACGGCCUUCGGGUUGUAAACCGCUUUCGCCUGUGACGAAGCGUGAGUGACGGUAAUGGGUAAAGAAGCACCGGCUAACUACGU
rnacentral:rRNA from 1 species